CGAGCACGCGCGUGUGGCAUAUCAAUAAGCGGAGGAAAAGAAACUAACAAGGAUUCCCUUAGUAACGGCGAGUGAAGCGGGAAGGGCUCAAAUUUGAAAUCUUCAAGGUUCUACCUUGACGAAUUGUAGUUUAUAGAAGUGUUUUCUGUUAGUAGAGUGGCAAAAGUUCUUUGGAAUAGGACAUCAUAGAGGGUGAGAAUCCCGUAUUUGGUCAUUCUUUCUAGCUUUGUGAUACACUUUCAACGAGUCGGAUUGUUUGGGAAUGCAGUCCAAAAUGGGUGGUAAAUUUCAUCUAAAGCUAAAUAUUGGCGAGAGACCGAUAGCGAACAAGUACCGUGAGGGAAAGAUGAAAAGAACUUUGAAAAGAGAGUUAAACAGUACGUGAAAUUGUCAAAAGGGAAGCGUUUGACACCAGUGUUGUUUUUCCGAAAAUCAAUUACGAAUGUUUUGUUUUUGAGAAGUUAUGACUUCAUCGGCUUGCUUCUCUCUUUACGAAACUUUCUUAAUGCACUUUUCGGUUAACAAGUCAACAUCAAUUUCUUUUGUUGUAGAAGGGUAUGAGGAAGGUGGCUUUCUUUUCGGAGAAAGUGUUUAUAGCCUUGUACCUCUGCAAUCGGAGAGAUUGAGGUCUGCAGCGUAGAUCCUUCGGGGUUAGAUACAUUUGUGCUAAGUUAUAGCUUUUCAUAGACAACUUGUUGACUAUGUUUAGUCUUGUAGCUUACUCGCUGAUGCUAUUUUACCUACGCUUAGGAUGUUGAUGUGAUACUGCGAGCA
rnacentral:rRNA from 1 species